GCCUCGGUGGCUCAGUCGGAUAGAGCGUCUGCCAGGUGAGCAGGAGUUACCGGGUUCGAAUCCCGGUCGGGGCA